rnacentral:lncRNA from 7 species
AUUAAUACCUCCAAGAAUAGCUUGCAAAGGAUGGGAGGAGUGUAAAGCUGGCAAAAAUGCCUUUUAUUCCACUCAUUCUCUCUUUCUGUGUUAGCAAGGGAUGUAUUAACAGAAAUGCAAAACACCCCAGAGACUGCUUGUGGCUAUACCUCAACAAAGCUUUUCUAUUCUGUAACGAGAGGUGUUAUAGCAGUCCUGGGAAUCAUGGAUGUACUAACACUGUUUCAGAAACAAUUAGUUAGAGCUCUCAUUGUUCCCAUCUCAUCCUACUUGCAUUUGGUAGUAUGCAAAAUGUAGGUCAUAAAUUUUAUUAUUUGAACACAUUGGUUUGAACAUAUCAGCUGGACAAUCUUGUGCAAGUCAUGUCAGCUUCUCACUGGCUCCUUUCUGCUUAGGGUUGUAACAAGCCAGAAGAUCCAUCAGCAGCAAAGGAGCUUCUUUGGGUGAGAAAGCUGGCAAGACUGGAGUCCAAGCUUCAGUCACUGCAAGGUGGAUUUCCGUGCUUCAGUUUCCAGGCUUAUUUAUGUCAAGAGACCUGAAGUGAGACUGAACCAGAAUAUUUUUUUCUUCUUUACUCCAAGGCAAAUAUCAGAAUGACUGAAGCCAGACAAUGGAGUAGCAAGAGGCAAAUCCUACACCAGACUCAAGGAGGCUUCACCAGAUACCCCAGAACUUACUGAAAGCAGGAACAUUCUGUCCUGUGCACCUUUUCUUGCUGAGUGUUUUUGCAGAGGUGCAAGGCUUGCCACUCCAUCUUUUGGCAGCUCUUUGAGAUCAGAAAAUAGGAUGCUCCUGUGCAGGCAAGACAACAUGAUUGCCAUUUGUGAGAAGAGCAGACACCUCUCUGUUUCCUUGCUGGAACUGUCCUCACAUGGAAUAACAACCCCAGCACUCCCAGUUACAAGCCUGUUCCAAGAGAACUGCACCAUUACAUCUCAAGCAGCUCCUCCAGCUCACUUUCCCUCCUCCUCAGGAGAAAGGCGUGAGGAGGUCAUCUGCAAUUGAAUGUGGAACUGGGAAAGGCUAGAUGGUGUUCCUAAAGAGGACUGGUGAACCAUUCUUGUUGCUAUCUGGGACGGGAUUUGACAGCUUACAUCAGGAAUGGGUGUGAAGUUGCCCAGAUGUGUCUGCUGAGGGAACCAUUUUCCUGGUGAUGACAGAAGUUUGGCAAGGUCCACAGUAGGAAAGUAUGCAGCUCAGCUUUAAGAUAUCCAAGGCCUCGGUCUCCUCUUGAAAGAAGAAAGACCAAGAUGAAAAUCACCUAAUGGAGGCAAACUGGUCAUUUCAUGACAUGCAACAUCAGUUCAAGUUUUGAGCCUACUGAGCAACUAUUUCUUGGGAUUCACUUCAAAGCAAACAGAGCACUACAUAGGAAAGGAAAGGAGAACAUUCAGAUAUGAUGCCUCCAGCAAGGGCUCAAGUCCAUGGAAUCAGUUCAGAAGCUGUUCCAGCUGAAAACUCCCCUCUUUGCCUUCCUGCAUGCUUCCUAUCUUUCUCAUUCUCUUUGUUGUUGCUGGUACUGGGGUUUUUGAUACUUCACUUGCUACCUCAUAGCUCAAGACAGGGUCACGCAGCUCCAUCCCACCCCCUGUUGUCUCUCUCCUCAUCCUUCCACUUAAGACCACUGUGGUCUUCUUUGCAUUGUUGUGUGAAAACCAACAAAAACAUGGAGUGCUUUGAUUCUCUUUCAGUCAUAACUAUGAUGUUUCCAAUAAAAUAAAAUAAAAUGAGGAUGAAAC